rnacentral:rRNA from 1 species
AGAGCGAACGCUGGCGGCAGGCCUAACACAUGCAAGUCGAACGGACCCUUCGGGGUUAGUGGCGGACGGGUGAGUAACACGUGGGAACGUGCCUUUAGGUUCGGAAUAGCUCCUGGAAACGGGUGGUAAUGCCGAAUGUGCCCUUCGGGGGAAAGAUUUAUC